AGGUACCGUCUCAACAACUACCACAUCAGCCCCAGAGACUACCUCCGAGUCUACAACGCCUGAAACAACUAACCGAGGUGACACGGACACGACAACUGCACGCACACGGCCUACCCCGGAGUCAACUCCAACUACUCAAUCGAGCACUACAACACCAUAUGUGUGCUACGAUAACAUCACAUCUGCAAACUAUCCA